AUUUAUCUGAGUGUUACUUAAAUUAAAAUUAAAAAAAAUGAUUGCGUUGAUGAACGGAAUCAGAAGUGGGCGGCAGGUGCUUCGUAAUGCUGGACAAGUUAGAACAGUAAUGGUAGGAAUGCCAAGAAAUCCCGUUCCCUGGAGCGAACGAGUAAUCCACGGAAUAGUAAUCGCCUGCUCAAUACUGGCUAUCCCAGCCUACAUCGCAACAAACAUAAAAAACUACCGCGGAAAUCCGGAAUAAGUUACACUAUUUUUAUUAUUAUCAUUAUUAAUAAUCAUGUAAAGAAAAUUAGUAAAAGUUUUCAGUAUUGAAUUUAAAUUAGAUAAUAAACUAAUUUAUCUGAUAAA